rnacentral:rRNA from 1 species
UGCAAGUCGAACGGCAGCGCGGGGCAACCUGGCGGCGAGUGGCGAACGGGUGAGUAAUAUAUCGGAACAUACCCUAGAGUGGGGGAUAACGUAGCGAAAGUUACGCUAAUACCGCAUACGCACUAAGGUGGAAAGUGGGGGAUCGCAAGACCUCAUGCUCAUGGAGUGGCCGAUAUCUGAUUAGCUAGUUGGUGAGGUAAAGGCUCACCAAGGCGACGAUCAGUAGCUGGUCUGAGAGGACGACCAGCCACACUGGAACUGAGACACGGUCCAGACUCCUACGGGAGGCAGCAGUGGGGAAUUUUGGACAAUGGGGGCAACCCUGAUCCAGCAAUGCCGCGUGAGUGAAGAAGGCCUUCGGGUUGUAAAGCUCUUUUGUCAGGGAAGAAACGGUGGUCUCUAAUAUAGACUGCUAAUGACGGUACCUGAAGAAUAAGCACCGGCUAACUACGUGCCAGCAGCCGCGGUAAUACGUAGGGUGCAAGCGUUAAUCGGAAUUACUGGGCGUAAAGCGUGCGCAGGCGGUUAUAUAAGUCAGAUGUGAAAUCCCCGGGCUCAACCUGGGAACUGCAUUUGAGACUGUAUGGCUAGAGUGUGUCAGAGGGGGGUAGAAUUCCACGUGUAGCAGUGAAAUGCGUAGAUAUGUGGAGGAAUACCGAUGGCGAAGGCAGCCCCCUGGGAUAACACUGACGCUCAUGCACGAAAGCGUGGGGAGCAAACAGGAUUAGAUACCCUGGUAGUCCACGCCCUAAACGAUGUCUACUAGUUGUCGGGUCUUAAUGA